rnacentral:rRNA from 1 species
AAUUCGAUUAGUUUGAUCAUGGCUCAGGACGAACGCUGGCGGCGCGCUUAAUACAUGCAAGUCGAGCGAGAACCAGCCCUUCGGGGCUGGGGAAAGCGGCGAACGGGUGAGUAACACGUGGGUAAUCUGCCCUCGGCACCGGGAUAGCCCGGGGAAACCCGGAUUAAUACCGGAUAGCCUCUCGAGCUCUCGAGCUCGCGAGAAAAGGUAGCUUUGGCCUCUGGCCGAGGAGGAGCCCGCGGCGGAUUAGCUUGUUGGUGAGGUAACGGCCCACCAAGGCGACGAUCCGUAGCUGGUCUGAGAGGACGAUCAGCCACACUGGGACUGAGACACGGCCCAGACUCCUACGGGAGGCAGCAGUAGGGAAUCUUGCGCAAUGGGCGGAAGCCUGACGCAGCGACGCCGCGUGCGGGAAGAAGGCCUUCGGGUUGUAAACCGCUUUCAGGAGGGACGAAGCCACUCGGGUUAAUAGCCCAGAGGGUGACGGUACCUCCAGAAGAAGCCCCGGCUAACUACGUGCCAGCAGCCGCGGUAAUACGUAGGGGGCAAGCGUUGUCCGGAUUUAUUGGGCGUAAAGCGCGUGUAGGCGGCCAGGUAGGUCCGUUGUGAAAACUCGAGGCUCAACCUCGAGACGUCGACGGAAACCAUCUGGCUAGAGUCCGGAAGAGGAGAGUGGAAUUCCUGGUGUAGCGGUGAAAUGCGCAGAUAUCAGGAAGAAUAUCCGUGGCGAAGGCGGCUCUCUGGG